CUGAAAAAGUGCUAGGUUGACAGCCUCUAUUUAUCCACAGAACAGGUUUUCAUAGGCAGCUGCAGUGCAAACUUCCCCAAACUGCCUGACUAUUGUGGCCCAGUCUUGACCUCAGUGAAUCCCCUCACAUUUUCAGCACAAUUUAAUUUUUUUUCACUCAUUUCUUGGGAUCG
rnacentral:sRNA from 1 species